rnacentral:rRNA from 1 species
CGGCGGACGGGUGAGGAAUGCAUCGGAAUCUGCCUUUUUGUGGGGGAUAACGUAGGGAAACUUACGCUAAUACCGCAUACGACCUACGGGUGAAAGCCGGGGACCUUCGGGCCUGGCGCAGAAAGAUGAGCCGAUGCCGGAUUAGCUAGUUGGCGGGGUAAAGGCCCACCAAGGCGACGAUCCGUAGCUGGUCUGAGAGGAUGAUCAGCCACACUGGGACUGAGACACGACCCAG